GCAUUGAUAGCUUAGUGGCAGAGCGGUGGGACGUUGAUCCAUGCGGCCCGGGAUCGAGCUCUGGUCGAUGCA